rnacentral:rRNA from 1 species
GACGAAGGGGGCUAGCGUUGCUCGGAAUUACUGGGCGUAAAGGGCGCGUAGGCGGAUGUCUAAGUCGGGGGUGAAAGCCCAGGGCUCAACCCUGGAAUUGCCUUCGAUACUGGACAUCUUGAGUACGGGAGAGGGUGAGUGGAACUCCGAGUGAGAGGUGAAAUGCGCAGAUAUCAGGAGGAACACCAGUGGCGAAGGCAGGCUC